rnacentral:rRNA from 1 species
GACGAACGCUGGCGGCGUGCUUAACACAUGCCAGUCGAACGGAAAGGCCCUGCUUUUGUGGGGUGCUCGAGUGGCGAACGGGUGAGUAACACGUGAGUAACCUGCCCUUGACUUUGGGAUAACUUCAGGAAACUGGGGCUAAUACCGGAUAGGAGCUCCUGCUGCAUGGUGGGGGUUGGAAAGUUUCGGCGGUUGGGGAUGGACUCACGGCUUAUCAGCUUGUUGGUGGGGUAGUGGCUUACCAAGGCUUUGACGGGUAGCCGGCCUGAGAGGGUGACCGGCCACAUUGGGACUGAGAUACGGCCCAGACUCCUACGGGAGGCAGCAGUGGGGAAUAUUGCGCAAUGGGCGGAAGCCUGAUGCAGCAACGCCGCGUGCGGGAUGACGGCCUUCGGGUUGUAAACCGCUUUCGCCUGUGACGAAGCGUGAGUGACGGUAAUGGGUAAAGAAGCACCGGCUAACUACGUG